CCUACGGGGGGCUGCAGUGGGGAAUUUUGGACAAUGGGCGCAAGCCUGAUCCAGCAAUGCCGCGUGCAGGAUGAAGGCCUUCGGGUUGUAAACUGCUUUUGUACGGAGCGAAACGGUCUUCUCUAAUACAGGAGGCUAAUGACGGUACCGUAAGAAUAAGCACCGGCUAACUACGUGCCAGCAGCCGCGGUAAUACGUAGGGUGCGAGCGUUAAUUGGAAUUACUGGGGGUGAAGCGUGCGCAGGCGGUUGAAAUCCCCGGGCUUAACCUGGGACCUGCAUUUGUGACUGCAAGGCUGGAGUGCGGCAGAGGGGGAUGGAAUUCCGCGUGUAGCAGUGAAAUGCGUAGAUAUGCGGAGGAACACCGAUGGCGAAGGCAAUCCCCUGGGCCUGCACUGACGCUCAUGCACGAAAGCGUGGGGAGCAAACAGGAUUAGAUACCCCAGUAGUC
rnacentral:rRNA from 1 species